CACGCACCGCGCCUGCUGCCAGGGGGCUGCCGCCCGCCCCGCCGAGGCACCGCUGCGCCCCCAGAACUCCUGCGUGGGACCCAGGCCCUGCAGGUGCUCCCCUGGGUCUGCUGCUGCUCCCCCCGGAAUGUGCAGGGAGUCGCAAUACCGUUGUGCAGGGAAGAAAAAAAAAGGAAAAAAUAAAAAUAAAAAUCAGGCAAAAGACAAGAAUUGUUCAGUUCCUACCAGUCCACAAAGCCUGCUCUGCUGUGCCGCUCCCAGGCUGCUGCCUGCUUCCAGCUGCUCCUGACACCUCCACAUUCGCCUUCCCGAGGUUUGGCUCUGUGUGCUGCUCCCAGAUCAUUGUUUCCUCUCUGCUCCUGUUGACACGUUCCCGUUCGAUUUGCCAUUCUGGAUCCCUGAUCCCGUUCCGGCAGCACUCUGAGCAGGGGAUUGCGGCACCGCGGGCGCUGCGCUGGGAGGGCUCGGGAAGCCUUCCCGGGAGUUCGCUUUGAGGUGCUUCAGGAGUGCUGUUUUCAUGAGAGGCAGCCAGCACUGUCAUCGUUCACAGCCCUCCUCCCCGGCUGAAAGCGUCGGGGCAUCCUUUUUGUCUCCGAGUUUUCCAGAGGAAUGAAAAUUGAAUAAAAGAUCAAAGUUCAGUGAA